UAUCCUUAUUAUUAUCAAGGUAUUGAUUCUAAUUUCAUUUUGAUAUCUCAUAUCUCUUAAUUUGAAAUAUUGCUUUUCACACUUAAGGAAAUGGGAAACAAAAAAAGGUAAUUUCCAUAGUCAACUACAUACUUAUAAUAUGUAUAAAGUUUUGAAACAGAUAAAUACUCAAAGACGGGAUAGAUCGGCAAUAUCUAUAGAGAGAUAAGGAAAUCACGAGAAAGGCACUUAUUACUUAAUUUUAUUUUUUAUUUUUUUGGGUUUUACUUGUUGAACAAUUUGAACAUUGUGUACGUUAAAUUUUUAGAAUUUAUGUGCUGAAAUGGUAAACACAUUGGUGGACCAAAACUAUAUGGACUGAACAAUAUCACUUCCAGCAUAUAUAAGUACUAGCCUAAAUGGCAGAUGACUAUUAAAUUUUCAAAAAUUCCACGAUAAAUUUAUUCACGACGCUUUGUAUCCUGAAGAGAGACCAUUUCAGAUUUCGACAAAGCAUUUCGAGUAUUUGGAUUUACCAAAAGAGAUAUCUUGAUUUUGAAAUUCUGUUAGAUCAAUUAAUGAAAGUUUUAGUGAUAAAGCUGCCCAUCAAAUGUCUGUAUAAUUUGAGCAGUUACACUUGCAGAAUACACAGGCUACAAUGUGGGAGAUAUCAAAGAUAUGCGUGAAAAACUGAGCAUCACUCUUGACGAAGCAAAGAUCAUUUACGUGCAAACUACGCUUUAUUGGCCUGCAGUAGAAAAACAUUCAUCUAUAGUUUUUUGUUGCAUACUCUACGAUGCAUGGAAUACGUCAGUCGUCGGUGGCUCCUACAACGGAAAUUUUAAAACCCCCGUUUCAUCUAUAAUGCCUCUCAAAGCACUGUGAUAAUCAGGAAUUUCAACAACUGUAGAUUUGUAGUAAGAGUAGUAAGAAUGUCCACAACAACAACGUUAAACAUUUUUGCAGUGAAGAAAUAAGUUUACCGGUACCUAUAUACCACCUAUUUUACCUAGGUAUACGUUUUUUAUUGCUGAAAAAAUGUCACACCCUAAUUGCAUUUUAUCUACAAUUCUACAUAUUAUUAAAUAAUCACUAAAAUUUAUAAAUAUGCACUUGAUUGGUUGAAUUUAAAUUCAAGAAUUGAUGAUGAAUUUAUCUAAUAUUCCAUCAACAAUAAACUUACUUUUCAUCACGUU